rnacentral:lncRNA from 1 species
UGCGGCCGGCUCUAUAAUUUUAAGGGUCCUUGGGCAAGUAAGAAGACAAGAGCUCGUUCAACUAACUUUUAUAUCAAAAUUACGAUAUAUAGUACAGAUAAUUAAAAAUUACUUUACAAUAUAUGUAUAAUUCAUAAAAUAUAAUAAUACUUUGUUGUUCUUGUUUUUCUUUUCUUUUUUGAGUAUCCGACAAAUGCUUCUUAGGCAACA